CAGCGACACUAUGUGUUGUUGGGUAGGGGAGCGUUCUGUAAGCCUGCGAAGGUGGCCUGUGAGGGUUGCUGGAGGUAUCAGAAGUGCGAAUGCUGACAUAAGUAACGAUAAAGCGGGUGAAAAGCCCGCUCGCCGGAAGACCAAGGGUUCCUGUCCAACGUUAAUCGGGGCAGGGUGAGUCGACCCCUAAGGCGAGGCCGAAAGGCGUAGUCGAUGGGAAACAGGUUAAUAUUCCUGUACUUGGUGUUACUGCGAAGGGGGGACGGAGAAGGCUAUGUUAGCCGGGCGACGGUUGUCCCGGUUUAAGCAUGUAGGCUGGUUAUCCAGGCAAAUCCGGAUAAUCAAGGCUGAGGUGUGAUGACGAGGCACUACGGUGCUGAAGUAACAAAUGCCCUGCUUCCAGGAAAAGCCUCUAAGCAUCAGGUAACAUCAAAUCGUACCCCAAACCGACACAGGUGGUCAGGUAGAGAAUACCAAGGCGCUUGAGAGAACUC
rnacentral:rRNA from 1 species